UGCCAGGGAUGAUGGCAGUGUGCUGGUGGGUGCUGGUGUGGGAGGCUGUGCUGGGGCUGGCAGCAGGGACCACCAUGGCUCCAGCUGCUCCAGAGCCCUCUGGGCACACUGUGGUGGCUCCAGUGGUGCCCUCCGCCAUGGGGACAAGGGUUGCAGCCUCAGCACUUGCUGGCACCACUGUGACUGGUGAGGAUCAUGCCCAUCCCAGCUCAGAGGAGCCCAUCAUGAACUUCACCUUGAGGCUCCUGGAUGAGGGCCCCAGUGCCAUC